rnacentral:rRNA from 1 species
CACCGGCGGCUCGAGUGGUGGCCACUUUUAUUGGGUCUAAAGCGUCCGUAGCCGGCUUGGCAAGUCCCCUGGGAAAUCUGGCGGCUUAACCGUCAGGCGUCCAGAGGAUACUGCCAGGCUUGGGACCGGGAGAGGUGAGAGGUACCUCAGGGGUAGGGGUGAAAUCUUGUGAUCCCUGAGGGACCACCUAUGGCGAAGGCACUUGUCUGGAACGGGUCCGACGGUGAGGGACGAAAGCCAGGGGCGCGAACCGG